rnacentral:rRNA from 1 species
UACGGAGGGUGCAAACGUUGCUCGGAAUCAUUGGGCGUAAAACGCACGUAGGCGGCCUUGCAAGUCGGACGUGAAAUCCCACGGCUCAACCGUGGAAGUGCAUUCGAAACUGCGAGGCUGGAGUCCUGGAGAGGAAAGUGGAAUACUCGGUGUAGAGGUGAAAUUCGUAGAUAUCGAGUGGAACACCGGUGGCGAAGGCGGCUUUCUGGACAGGUACUGACGCUGAGACGCGAAAGCGUGGGGAGCAAACAGG